UUGCUAUAAAAGAAAAAAGAGAUAUACUAUUGUGAUUUCAAAGUACAACUACAAGCUCUAUAUAGCUAGAAUAAGCUCACUGCAAAACAGUAUACUAAGAUGAUAACAUCCUUACCUGCAAUUUGCUGAGCCCGGAUGAUAUUUUGCCGCCUCUUCCACCAGCAAACUGAACAGGUAAUCAGAAGUAGAAAAGUAAAAGAAGCACCUAACCCAAUACCAACUUUAGCACCGGUAGAAAGAUGAGGUACAGGUAAUCAGAAGUAGAAAAGUAAAAGAAGCACCUAACCCAAUACCAACUUUAGCACCGGUAGAAAGAUGAGGUCCGCAUGUUGGUAAUCCGGGUAUACCACACAGACCUGAAUUAUCUGUAAAACUGCAGAAAUCAAAAUGUUCAGAUUUAGCAACCUUAAUCAUAAAGAACGGGGAGAAAUAGUAUGUAGAUAUGGUUCUCUUCUCUUUGCAUAUAAGUAUUCCUUAAGUUUAUUCUAGAUU
rnacentral:lncRNA from 1 species